AGAAUCAACGCUGGCGGCGUGCCUAACACAUGCAAGUCGAACGAGAAAGUGGUAGCAAUACCAUGAGUAAAGUGGCGCACGGGUGAGUAACACGUGACUAACCUACCCUUGAGUGGGGGAUAACUGAGGGAAACCUUAGCUAAUACCGCAUAAUACCCACGGGUCAAAGGAGCAAUUCGCUCGAGGAGGGGGUCGCGGCCGAUUAGUUAGUUGGCGGGGUAAUGGCCCACCAAGACGAUGAUCGGUAUCCGGCCUGAGAGGGCGCACGGACACACUGGAACUGAAACACGGUCCAGACUCCUACGGGAGGCAGCAGUGGGGAAUUUUGCGCAAUGGGGGAAACCCUGACGCAGCAACGCCGCGUGGAGGAUGAAGUCCUUCGGGACGUAAACUCCUUUCGAUCGGGACGAUUAUGACGGUACCGGAAGAAGAAGCCCGGCUAACGUUCGCGCCAGCAGCCGC
rnacentral:rRNA from 1 species